CGCGCAUGAAUGGAUUAACG
rnacentral:snRNA from 1 species